rnacentral:rRNA from 1 species
UACGUAGGGGGCAAGCGUUGUCCGGAAUUAUUGGGCGUAAAGAGCGCGUAGGCGGUCCGGUAAGUCGGUUGUGAAAGUCGGGGGCUCAACCCUCGGAUGCCGAUCGAUACUGUCGGGCUAGAGUCCGGAAGAGGCGAGUGGAAUUCCUGGUGUAGCGGUGAAAUGCGCAGAUAUCAGGAAGAACACCAACGGCGAAGGCAGCUCGCUGGGACGGUACUGACGCUGAGACGCGAAAGCGUGGGGAGCGAACAGG